AUACUCACAUCAGCGUAGUCUCGAAAUGGAGCUGAUGAGAAAACCAGCAUCUGUGUCGUGGCAACCUACCCAUUCACUCCCAGGGGUUCCCUACCUGGCCACAAGAUGGUCUAAUUGACAUGGAGUGUUUCUACUGUGGGGCACCACAUGAAAUGUUUCUUUUCUUUAACAGCGGAGGCAGAAGAACUCUUUUAAAAGAAGCAAAGCAAAUCUACAGGUUUAAAAGAAUCAAAGUAAAUCUACACUCCCGCCUUCUUGAACAGAUAAUCAAGAGUUGGCUAAGAGUGAUAAUCCCCACCAAGUACAGCCAAGGAAAUAUCACCGCUCUGGAAUCCUGAGUCUUUCCAGAGGUACAAGCCAUCAUGUUCAGAUGCUUCCAGCCUGUCAAGUCCAAUUGAACCUUAGUUGGAUCAACACUUAUACAAGCUGCUCCUCUCUGGGACUUCCCUGGUGGCGCAGUGGUUAAGAAUCCGCCUGCCAAUGCAGGGACACGGGUUUGAGCCCUGGCUCAGGAA